AUUGAACGCUGGCGGCAGGCCUAACACAUGCAAGUCGCGCGAGCGGCGGACGGGUGAGUAAUGCCUAGGAAUCUGCCUGGUAGUGGGGGAUAACGUCCGGAAACGGGCGCUAAUACCGCAUACCAUCAGAUGUGCCCAGAUGGGAUUAGCUUGUUGGUGGGGUAACGGCUGACCAAGGCGACGAUCCCUAGCUGGUCUGAGAGGAUGACCAGCCACACUGGAACUGAGACACGGUCCAGAGUCCAAAGGGAGGCAGCAGUGGGGAAUAUGGCACAAUGGGAGCAAGCCGGAUGCAGCCAUGCCGAGUGGAUGAAGAAGGCCUUCGGGUUGUAAAGUACUUUCAGCGGGGAGGCGUUACCCGCAGAAGAAGCACCGGCUAACUCCGUGCCAGCCGCCGCGGUAAUUC
rnacentral:rRNA from 1 species